CUUUGUGUAUGUGUCUGUCUGUACUGUAUGAUCAAUGUGUAUUUGGCGUGUGUUUCAGUGAUGAAGUUCAAGCGCAAGCCGUGCUUCAUGGAGUUUGCUGUGCUGCUGCUCCAGAGGACCAUGCAGGCAGACCAUCUAGAGCUGGUCCUGCAGUGGGGACACGACAUAUUUGGCUGGCUUAGCAGGAGGGAUGAGGGACUGACAGGGCCUAAGAAGGGCCCAGGGGACAGAUCAACCUCAGGGAAAGAACUGAAGAAGUUCUCCUCCUCCAUCAUGGAGUACAAGAAGAAUAAAGCUAGUACAUUCGGGAGUGACAAGAAGAGGAAAGAGUUUCUCCAGAAGAAACAACUGACUGCUCUGAAAGCACAGAACACAGAGAGGUGGGUACAGUACUUUUACAGCAACUGUAAAACUCUCUUUGUGCUACUCUCUUUGUGCUUAUGACUAAUUACUGUUAAACUUUUACCCCAAUUGCAUGAGUGUGUGCGGAUGUGGGCUUAUGCAAGUGUACAUGUGUGUCCUUACCUGCAUGUAUGCUCCACUCACAUCUGUGUGUCAGGGAGUGUAAGGCGGUGGACACCAUGCUGAACCAGCUAGCCCCCCUGGUGCGCCGUCACCAGCGUCGGAGGCGUCUGAGACAGGUGUGUUCUGAGGAGUGGCUGUGGAGGUGUCACCUCAACCUUAGCAUCGCCAGGGCUCACCUGGGACUACUGAGAAGGAGCCUGGAGAACCACCAGGGCCUUGGGGCCCUACAACACAGGUAAAUAUAGACACAAACACACGCAUGCAUACAUACACAUAUACACACACACAUACAGAUCACUGUUUCCCACAUAUACAUACUGUACCCUUGUCACGCUAUCAUUCCCUCCAGAUUGUACUGUGCUGGCUCAGAUGUUUUCUUUUCACAAUCACUGUCCUUUCCAGCACGAUUCUCUAAGAGUGUAGCUAAAAGUGAGCUGAGCUAGCCCUAUAACGUAUCUGGUGCCAGCUCACUUUCAAGCGAGCAUAGGAGAAUAGUUAGCUACAUUUCUGUGUUUUAUUGAUCGUACAUAUAUGAACAUUAUUUUUGUGUACAUUUUACAUUUUAGAACAAAGACAAUAGACCAUGAUGACAUUUUUGUUCUUGUAGCUACAGCCAGCUGCCUCCGUUGUUGUUCUCCCUGGCCCACUCUGGUACUCUGGUGAGGGGGAGGAACAUGCAUCAGCACAUCGGAGUCCCUGACCUGAUUCCCCCGCCCCCCAAAGCCACGCCCCAGCCCUGCUUCAGAGCCAUCCUCCACAAGGCCAAGGAGAGCGGACAGGGUAAGGAAAUAACUAACUAAACUAGCUAACUAUCCUCAACACUCUUUCUCUCCCUGUCUUUCUUUUUUUCUCUUUUGCUGUCUAUAUCUCUCUCACUCUCUCUCUCCCUAUCUCUCUUUUUUUUUGACCCAUCACCAGAGGGGGCAGACAUCAGAGGACAAGAACAUUCUUCCUAUCUUUUACUCUUUCUCUCUCUCCACCCUUCAGCUGCCACCACCACCAGUGGAGAGGACUUCAACACGACAGAGAGCAGUGAGCAGGACAGUGAGCAGGACUCUCCUCGUACGCAGCCAGCUGUGGACUCGGACUAUAGUGAGCCCUCAGUGAUGACCACCUCCCCGACCAGACGCACCGCCACUCAGCUGCUAGAGUCACUCAACAAGGCUGCCCUGCACCUCCGCAGAGCCAUGGUACCUGAUAUACACACACAAACAGACACGGAUGCAUAUACACACAAACACAUACAAACAG
ensembl:lncRNA